UACGUAGGGGGCGAGCGUUGUCCGGAUUUACUGGGCGUAAAGCGUGCGCAGGCGGUUUUGUAAGCCAGGUGUGAAAUCCCCGGGCUCAACCUGGGAAUGGCAUUUGGGACUGCAAGGCUGGAGUGCGGCAGAGGAGACUGGAAUUCCUGGUGUAGCAGUGAAAUGCGUAGAUAUCAGGAGGAAUACCGAUGGCGAAGGCAGGUCUCUGGGCUGACACUGACGCUCAUGCACGAAAGCGUGGGGAGCAAACAGG
rnacentral:rRNA from 1 species